UGAGUUGAGGAGAUGAGGGAAGUUUUGCUAUUGAGGGUCUUUGGUAGGGAUCUAUUAGGGGCCAUUCAACAUCCAAUGUUUUUAACAGAUCAUUUAGACACCUACUGUAUUUUUCACGCACUGGCAAUCGUCUGCUUCUAGGUGAUGAAAGUUUGAUUUGCGACUCCUCUGUGUCCUUGGAGAAGAGGCAGUCGUGGAACAUGAGGUCUUAGUCUACACUAACAAGAAGGAGUUUGCAAACUGACUGUGAAAGGACAAUUCCAACAUUCGAUGAAAGGAACAGCGCCUGGGUAUUUGAGGACACGUAGAACAUUAGACUCCCAGGCUGCGGCGCAGUUUUAAUUGGGAAGGCGAUGACUCUGCUGUUGUGGGAACAAGCAGCUGGCUGUGGCACCGUGGGAAGACCAUGUUCCUGCCAGCUCUGCCACUUACCAGUGUGUGACCUUAGUUCUAUAAACAAGUCCCUAGGCUGAAGGAUGAGUGGAUACUCAGCUCCACACACUUGAGGAGGCGAUGUUGCAGCAGUUUUUCAUUUCAUGGGACAGUUACUGCUGUGCAGUUCACCGUGGAUUUCAGCUCCUCAGGGAUCCCAGGAUACACCUGCCCUUUUGUUUUUCUGAUCAUCCUCUCCGUCCUCCAGCAAAGUUCCAGAUCAAAUACUGCAACUUCCUUGAAGGCCUCAAAAUCUGGGAUCAGUUUCUGCUUCUUUGUACAGGAAGAUGGUGUGGAGUAGUGGGAACAUUUUAGGAUACUUUUCAAGUCUGCGCUCUAAAACUUCUGAGCUUGUGACCAGAGGAUGAGAAGAAGCCAGUUCUCUGAGAAUCCGAGGAAGAACAUUUCUGGCAAAAUACGGCAAAGGCGGAGUCCCUGACGCAGCAAAGAAUCGGUUACGUUCUGCAGAACCCCUGUGCUUGGACGGUGUGAGCAAGAAAGUUCCUGUGGUCAGGCUGGAAGAGGAGACUCAGGCCGAGUCCUGUAGGCCUGUCUCCUGUGGCGAGGGCCUCUCGCUUUUCUACUGGAAGCAACGGGAAGACACUGGAGAGCUUUGAGCAGGGAAGCGGCAUAACAACACAUCGUGGACCUAGGACAGUGCCUCCCUCAUGGCGGGGACCAGUGAGCGGCGGGUGUUGUCAAGAUCUGGGAGUGGCUGGAGCUGCCAACAUCAGCUUUUGAUUGCUAAGUGAUGAGCAGAGAUACCGUUCCCAGGAGAUGAUCAGUAGUAUUAUGAUGUGACUUGGCAGUUCAGUUUAAUGGUCAGGCCGCUCAAGACGGCUGUGCUCUUGCCCUCUGCACAUCCCCUGCUGGACCAGUGCCUGCUUCACCUGCAGCGCUCACCUGCCUGGCCUUCCUACGCGCCAGCCCCAGGCCCCAGCUGGUGCUUGUUCUCAUCAAACGGGCGUGAAGGGCGUGUCCCUCUGCGGGUUUCCCUGGUAACCAACGCGGCACCCUGACGUCACUUCCGAUAUAACCGCUAACCUCCCCCUGACCCCGGGGAGCCAAGCCUGGCACCGCGUCCUCCGCUGCGGUCCACCGCACGCUGGGGAGUCGCUGCAGGACCUCGCUGCCGACAGGGGGGCUCCCCGUCCACUAAACGACUGACGUCUCUGUCUCUGACUCGGGGCUCCUACCUGCGUCUCCAGGCUGGGCGGGCACAGGCCCUGUAGGCCUGCGGAGUGCCGCCCAGCAACCCACCAAGAGAUGACGGUAGGCGAACCCCUCUUUUAGAAGCUGAGACAUCAUUAUAUGCUAUUAUGUGGGCCUCCAAAAUAUUAAAUGUAAAGAAUUUAUACUGUGGUUAGUAGUUUUUUCCCUCACAUAGAUAUUUUAAUUUAAAAAAUUUUACUCAAGAAAACUAUUCCAAACUGACCUCCUGGUUUACAAAAGGAAAAAUGAAAGUGAAUUUUAAAUCCAGCAGCACAUUUAAGUGAGAUUUCUGUAGGGUUAGCUGUAGAGCUGUUUAAUUUGAGAUGUUAGACACUGUUUUUAAGAGCCUGCCUGUUGUGCGCAGAAAACAGAAACGUUUAAGCACAUAGAAGUGCUUAAAAUAUUUGCUGAAUCAGUACCAGAGGGUCAUCUUAAGGAACUUCUGUUGGUAUUUACAGACAUUUUCUGUUUGAGAACCUAGUGACAAUUUAAUUUCCCUUGAGAUGGACUUAGCGUCUUUCACCAGGGAGCAGAUUUGUUAAUGGAUGAAGAUUCACUGUCGUGGAAUAUUUCACUCACCUCUUUCGGGGCAUCAGCUUCAAUGAAUUCAGAAUAAAUCAUCCUGGCUUUGGAAGCAAUUUUUUCUGUACAUUCC